rnacentral:rRNA from 1 species
CCUACGGGAGGCUGCAGUGAGGAAUAUUGGUCAAUGGGCGGAAGCCUGAACCAGCCAAGUAGCGUGCGGGAUGAAGGCCCUACGGGUCGUAAACCGCUUUUGCACGGGGAUAACACCCUCCACUUGUGGAGGUCUGCAGGUACCGUGCGAAUAAGGGCCGGCUAAUUCCGUGCCAGCAGCCGCGGUAAUACGGAAGGCCCGAGCGUUAUCCGGAUUCAUUGGGCUUAAAGGGAGCGUAGGCGGGCGUUCAAGUCAGCUGUAAAAUCGCGCGGCUCAACCGCGCCCCGCAGUUGACACUGGACGCAUUGAGUUCACAACAGGCAGGCGGAAUUCGUGGUGUAGCGGUGAAAUGCAUAGAUAUCACGAGGAACCCCGAUUGCGAAGGCAGCCUGCCGGGGUGCGACUGACGCUGAGGCUCGAAGGUGCGGGUAUCAAACAGGAUUAGAUACCCCGGUAGUC